rnacentral:rRNA from 1 species
CUACGGGUCGCAGCAGUGGGGAAUAUUGGACAAUGGGGGAAACCCUGAUCCGGCAAUGCCGCGUGUGUGAAGAAGGCCUGCGGGUUGUAAAGCACUUUCGGUUGGGAGGACUGCUUCUAGCACUAAUAUUGUUGGAAGUUGACGUUACCUUCAGAAGAAGCACCGGCUAACUCCGUGCCAGCAGCCGCGGUAAUACGGAGGGUGCAAGCGUGAAUCGGAAUUACUGGGCGUAAAGCGCGCGUAGGCGGCUAGAUCAGUCGGGUGUGAAAGCCCCGGGCUUAACCUGGGAACUGCAUCCGAUACUGUCUAGCUUGAGUACAGGAGAGGAGAGUGGAAUUCCACAUGUAGCGGUGAAAUGCGUAGAUAUGUGGAGGAACACCAAUGGCGAAGGCAGCUCUCUGGCCCGAUACUGACGCUGAGGUGCGAAAGCGUGGGGAGCAAACAGGAUUAGAUACCCGAGUAGUC